rnacentral:rRNA from 1 species
GUGUCAGCCGCCGCGGUAAUACGAGGGGAGCUAGCGUUGUUCGGAAUUACUGGGCGUAAAGGGCGCGUAGGCGGUCCUAUAAGUCAGAUGUGAAAGCCCCGGGCUUAACCUGGGAGGUGCAUUUGAAACUGUAGAACUUGAGAUCGAGAGAGGAAAGUGGAAUUACGAGUGUAGAGGUGAAAUUCGUAGAUAUUCGUAAGAACACCAGUGGCGAAGGCGACUUUCUGGCUCGAUACUGACGCUAAGGCGCGAAAGCGUGGGGAGCAAACAGGAUUAGAAACCCUCGUAGUCC